rnacentral:rRNA from 1 species
AGAGUUUGAUCCUGGCUCAGGAUGAACGCUGGCGGCGUGCUUAACACAUGCAAGUCGAACGGGAAUUACUUUAUUGAAACUUCGGUCGAUUUAAUUUAAUUCUAGUGGCGGACGGGUGAGUAACGCGUGGGUAACCUGCCUUAUACAGGGGGAUAACAGUCAGAAAUGGCUGCUAAUACCGCAUAAGCGCACAGAGCUGCAUGGCUCAGUGUGAAAAACUCCGGUGGUAUAAGAUGGACCCGCGUUGGAUUAGCUUGUUGGUGGGGUAACGGCCCACCAAGGCGACGAUCCAUAGCCGGCCUGAGAGGGUGAACGGCCACAUUGGGACUGAGACACGGCCCAGACUCCUACGGGAGGCAGCAGUGGGGAAUAUUGCACAAUGGGGGAAACCCUGAUGCAGCGACGCCGCGUGAAGGAAGAAGUAUCUCGGUAUGUAAACUUCUAUCAGCAGGGAAGAUAGUGACGGUACCUGACUAAGAAGCCCCGGCUAACUACGUGCCAGCAGCCGCGGUAAUACGUAGGGGGCAAGCGUUAUCCGGAUUUACUGGGUGUAAAGGGAGCGUAGACGGUGUGGCAAGUCUGAUGUGAAAGGCAUGGGCUCAACCUGUGGACUGCAUUGGAAACUGUCAUGCUUGAGUGCCGGAGGGGUAAGCGGAAUUCCUAGUGUAGCGGUGAAAUGCGUAGAUAUUAGGAGGAACACCAGUAGCGAAGGCGGCUUACUGGACGGUAACUGACGUUGAGGCUCGAAAGCGUGGGGAGCAAACCAGGAUUAGAUACCCUGGUAGUCCACGCCGUAAAC